GGAGGUGAGAGCCAUCUGGCAGUGACAUCUGCUACCUCCUUAGUCAUCAGGGCUGAUUUGACUAUUUGGCUUGCUAUGCAGGUGACUCCUUUCCCCCUCACUGCUUCAUGGCUCCAUGUGCAUCUAUCUCUCCUGGAGCCCAGCAGUCCGUGGAGGAGAAUGACCUCAGUGCAGGAGGAGUGGUCUUUGGUCAAAUGUCUAACAGGCUCUUAAGGUCCAUUUGCAGGGUGGAUGUAAGUAGUUAAGCUUCCAGGGUUCAACAAGCAUCCAAAUGAAGCACUGUACAUAGAAGUCUGCCAACAU
rnacentral:snRNA from 1 species